rnacentral:lncRNA from 1 species
CUCUUCUUUAUGGUUAAUAUUCAUAUGUAUCUAUGAAAUACAUUCAUAUGUAUAUAUAUAUAAUUUUCUUUGUCCAUUCAUAUGUUGACAGGCAUCUGGCUGUUUCCAUGGCUUAGCUAUUAUGAAUCAUCAUGCUGUAAACAUGGAUCCUUUGUGUUAUGAAAGCCCCACGUGUGCAUUUCUCUAAAUGAAAGUCUCCUGAACUUAAACCCAUGGACAUUUUAAAGAAAAUGCAGUAAGCCAAUGCUUCCUUGGCUAAAAACGUGUCUGUGCUCUGCAAACAAUGAACAGAACCCAGGAAGGGAGAUGCAGACCGCCUGCUGAGCCAGUCCUAGUUCUCUUCCCUGGAAAUCUUGUCCUUGCACAGAACUUCUGGAAACCAAUAAAAGAAAACUAAUGUGCUACCCAGAGCAGAGAAAAUGGAAAUCUGCUGAGUUAAUAUUGUGGGUCAUAAAAGUCACUCAAAGAGAAUUCUUUCAAUAAGAAUAAUGGUACUGCUUAACAUCCCCAGAACACAAUGUGAAUGAGCUUUUAAAAUUUUAUUCUAAUUACAAGAGAAAUAUAUUCUGAGUAUAGAAGAUGAGGAACAUAGAGAAAACCCUGAAGGAAUCAAACAACCCUAUUGUGAGAUAAAACUCAGGUAACAUUUUGGGAUAUUUAACAAUGUCUAUUGCCUUGACGCCAAAAAGUCGGCAUUAUUGUUGAACAUUAUUAUUAUUAAAGUUUGGAUGUAUUUCAUUUGAAUGAUGGCUAUAAAUAAAUUUUAAGCAGAAAGCAAAAAUGACUUUUCUUUUGAUUCCAGGGCCUUCUCAUUAAACUACAUCCUCAAUCCUUUCUUGUUUUCUUAUUUUGAGUCAGAGCCUUGCUAAACUGCCAUGCUGUUUAAAUUGGACUCAAAACAUGCAAUCCUCCUGCCUUACCCUUCCAAAAUAUUGGAAUUACAGGCAUGCAUUGGAAUCACAGGCAUUUAAAUUUUAAAACAGAUACAGCAACACCUGUAAAGAACAGUUGGGCAUUAUGCUCUUGAAAUUUUUGAAAAACUAGAUGCUUAGUUAAUGCUUCCUUUACUUAAAAUAUUUUAGUCUCUGUGUUGGAAUUGCCCUCAAAACUGGUAUAUGAGCC